rnacentral:rRNA from 1 species
GACGAACGCUGGCGGCGUGCCUAACACAUGCAAGUCGAACGAGAAAGUGGUAGCAAUACCAUGAGUAAAGUGGCGCACGGGUGAGUAACACGUGACUAACCUACCCUGGAGUGGGGGAUAACUGAGGGAAACCUUAGCUAAUACCGCAUAACACCUACGGGUCAAAGGAGUAAUUCGCUUUGGGAGGGGGUCGCGGCCGAUUAGUUAGUUGGCGGGGUAAUGGCCCACCAAGACAGUGAUCGGUAUCCGGCCUGAGAGGGCGCACGGACACACUGGAACUGAAACACGGUCCAGACUCCUACGGGAGGCAGCAGUGGGGAAU